rnacentral:rRNA from 1 species
GUGGGGAAUAUUGGACAAUGGGCGAAAGCCUGAUCCAGCCAUGCCGCGUGUGUGAAGAAGGUCUUCGGAUUGUAAAGCACUUUAAGUUGGGAGGAAGGGCAGUAAGUUAAUACCUUGCUGUUUUGACGUUACCGACAGAAUAAGCACCGGCUAACUUCGUGCCAGCAGCCGCGGUAAUACGAAGGGUGCAAGCGUUAAUCGGAAUUACUGGGCGUAAAGCGCGCGAAGGUGGUUUUGUAAGUUGGAGGUGAAAGCCCCGGGCUCAACCUGGGAACUGCCUCCAAAACUACAUGACUAGAGUACGGUAGAGGGUAGUGGAAUUUCCUGUGUAGCGGUGAAAUGCGUAGAUAUAGGAAGGAACACCAGUGGCGAAGGCGACUACCUGGACUGAUACUGACACUGAGGUGCGAAAGCGUGGGGAGCAAACAGGAUUAGAAACCCCAGUAGUCC